CUAGCCAGAAACUUAAAUAUAGAAGAAAUAUUUUUUCUUUUCUUUCAACUACUGGUAAAGUAUAAGUUUGGUUCUUUGAUCGAGUGUCAAAACUAUAUAGAUUUCGUUUUUUCCAUGCUGAGAGCGUUUUGACAAUGACGUGGCUUGUGGCUGUCACUUUGCACAUAUGGUGACCCAGUUAGCACCAGAAAUUUAUGAAAAAAAGAAGUGGUGAAAAUAGCAUAGAUAUAAUAAAGAAAUAAUUAAGACCUUGUUUGGAAAACUUAAACUAACUGGAGGAAAAAGUGGGAAGAAUACUAAAUUUUCUAAAAAUCUAAAAAAAAGUAUGAAAUCAUAGUUUCUUUGGGAAGAAAAAUCAACAUGUAUAAAGUCUAAAGUAAAAUAAAAAUAUGGGAAAGCCAUGAAUUCAGUAAUAUGAGGGUUAUUCCUGAAAACUUAAAAAUGAGAAUGAUAAAAAAAUGUAG
rnacentral:lncRNA from 1 species